UACAGAGGGCUCGAGCGUUAAUCGGAAUCACUGGGCUUAAAGCGUGCGUAGGCUGACCUGCAAGCAUCUUGUGAAAUCCCAUGGCUCAACCAUGGAAUUGCUUGGUGAACUGCGGGUCUUGAGAAUGGUAGGGGCUGCCGGAACUCUAGGUGGAGCGGUGAAAUGCGUAGAUAUCUAGAGGAACGCCAAAGGUGAAGACAGGCAGCUGGGCCAUUACUGACGCUGAGGCACGAGAGCAUGGGGAGCAAACAGG
rnacentral:rRNA from 1 species